rnacentral:lncRNA from 13 species
AUGUGUUUUUUCACUUCAGAAAUGGUUUCAUUCAAGGCAGUAGGCGAAACUGAGGAGACCAGGAGAAUGCAGACCUAUACCUGGACCCAAAGUGGACUGGAUCGAUCCGUCGCUGGACAAUCCUCAAGUCCCCAAGUUACCAGUGGUCAGAUGAGUGAGAUUCCAAGCAGCUAUUCUCGUCAAUAUGGGCCAGUCAGACCAGCUGUCCUGUAUAUAGAAGGUGGUCAAUGCCUACCACACAGCGGACAAGUAACCAGUGGAGGUUACUGGAGUGGACCGACCCUCAAUCAACAGGCUUCAAUGGUUAACAUAAACUCAUCUCAGCAUUCACCCACCAGAGAGCAAGUUCUGAUGGGUACUAGUCCCCUUUUGACAUCACUCUGGACUAACAAUGCAGCGGCUCCUCAAUCAACUGGUGUUACAUCACAAAGUGGAAACCAUCACACCUUGCCCGGAAGGGUUAACAGUGUAGCUCUUCCCACUUUCCAGCAGGGACAGGGGUUUUUGGGUGUUAAAAAUAACAAUCCACAGAGGCUCGUUAAGGAUGGUCAUGGUGCAACCAUUCACUGCCCCCCUCAUAUUAAUGCACCACUGAAUGCAAAUGUUAUGUAUCAUAUAAGCCCAGCGAGUGGCAGUCAGCAGCUUGUACUUGGCAGACAAGAUGGGGCCUCCAGUGGUACCUCUGCUUCUCUUGCAAUGGGUAGGAGCCCCAACCAUGUAAAUCAUGUAGUGAGUGGGCAGGAUUCAAGAAGGAUAGCAGUUCAAGCUCCUCAUCAGGGAAACCCACAAACACCAAACUCUUUGCAAAGUGCACAGGAAACAACAUAUAACCAACUGUUGUAUUUACUUCAAAAUCAGAACAAUGACAGCAGGACUGAGAUGAACAGGGUUCAACAUGGAGCACCUGUCCACACUGGCUCAUCAAACCACAGUCAGAUGUAUCCCUCUCAACUUCUCACUGGCAUCAACAACCAGGUCAAUGUACCAAAUGCUGCAAUGGGAAUGCCAAUGCAUAACAUUAGCCAGAAUCCUCAGUACAAUGUACAAAGUACAAAGUAUAACCCCCCUUUUAAUAAUUCUCCAAGACAUGUCCCCAUCUGCCCUAAAAGCCUUCCCAUCCCACCACAACAGAACAGACUCCCAUCUUAUUGUGCAAAUAAUAACAGUCAGUUAGGGCCCAUUGGAAAUAAUGCACACCAUGCCUCUCAUCCUAGGCUCCAUAUCCAAGGCACAGUCCCUACCCUACAUUACAAGCCAGACUGCACCAAUGUUCUGGUAUCCAACACUGGACCAUCUCCAUCUGUGCCAAACUAUAGUAUACAGUCCUCAGUCCAGCACAACCGUGAAACCGCGCCUCCACCAUACCCAGUCCAGCAGAUACGUAAGUCCGCGCCUCCACCAUACCCAGGCCAGCACUCCCAUGGGCCCGUCCUGAACAAGACAGAACAUGUGGUUGGGGCAGGAGCACAUUUUCUGCAACACUUGCCUAACCAAGGCGCAGCCCCUACCCUACAUUACAAGCCAAAAAACAAUUAUGUUCAGUUAUCCAACACUGGACCAUCUUCAUCUGUGACAAACCAUGGUAUGCUGUCUUCAGGCCAGCGAAACUGUGUUGGAAAUGUGAGGAAACCUGGGGAACAUUCUUGUGUCCAAAGUCCAUCACAAGGCCAAACAACCCUUGCUCGAUCUGCUUCUUUGACAAAUGAAUCAGAACAAGAAGUGCCCAGGAUCAGACUAGAAUCAGGGGCUGAUAAAACAUUGACUCAGGGUUCAGAAACUUCUGAUGUUGAAAUGGCCAAGACAUAUUCAUGUUUUAAGUCUCAACGGUCAUUAUCAAAUGGGUUACGUGCAGAGAAAUUUGAUUCUCAACCAUUAUCUAAUGUGGAAUGUCAAGCCACUCUGAGAAAAGAGUUAGCUGACACAGAAAUGACCACUCAUGUGAAUGUUAACCAAUUGAGUGAGGAAACAAAUGAAAAAGUCGAUUCCGAUGAGGACAUUUUUGAUUUGUCCUCCAUUCCUGUAAUCAAAUGGACCCUUGGUAAAUUGAAGGAGUUGGUAGAUACUGUGCAACGUCAAAAAUGCACUGCCACACCAGUUGAAAGCAAAAUACUAAGCCUCUAUUGGGAUGGAGAUGGGCCAAAGCUUAUGGAUGCUGCAAGAUCUGGUAUGUUACAAAAUAUAAUGCAAGAGGUUAGAUCUGUGUGUGGCGACGAUGACGAUAUGUCAUCACAGUCUGUCAUAUUUUCACAAGCCAGGCGCAAAAACUGGGGUCAAGUUGAAGAGAAAUGUGCUAUUCUUAAACAUGAUUCUGUUCACCCCGAGUUCCCGGCACAAGAGUCAUCAUGGUUGAACACAAAUAAGCAGCUUGAUGACAUAGACAAGGAGUUUGGAUUCCCAUGGUCACUAAGAUAUGACCAAAAGACUCUUCAAAGAGGAGAUGAACAACCAAAACUGAUUUGUACCGAAAAUGAAAAAUCUACAGCCUCUGCCAUUGACAUGCAGACUGAGGUCACUCAGGCGACGAGACCAACACCCUCUGAUUCUGAUGCUAAAGAAAUUCAAGGGUCAGGUUUGGCACACAGUUCCACCCAGACCCUCUCACUGGUUAAGAGAGAAAAAGCAGGUAUCAUUUUUAGUGACCCAUUUUCCUCCCUGGAGAUCAACGUGCUGACACCAGAAGAGGCUUUGCAGUUUUUCAGUGGGCAGCUACUACAAGAUGAAGUGAACGAAGACCUGUUGGAAUUGCCAAUGGAAAUGGAUGCGGAGCUGAUUGAGUUGAAAGAUUACUCAGUGGAGGAUAAAUCAUCUGAGAGGGUAGAUGUGAAGUUGACUGAUUUAAAACUCAAAAACAAAGGGGAUGUCCAAUCAGAAGAUUACUGUUGCCUCUCUCGUUGGAUGUCAGUGUUCAGUGGGUCCACCAAUUCUUCGUCCUGCAAAUGCCAAUACAAGACGAAAUUGGGUUCAGCAAAGGCCACUCUGAAUGCGACGGCAUUGGUUGAGGUAACAUUGUCUGUUGAACCCAGCACAACAAAAGCAGAACAAAGGGAAUGCGUGCAUUUGUGUAAAUCAAAUGGCACAGCAGAAGAAAAGCGUGAAGAGAAUCCUGUAAAAAAUGUGAAUCCUCAAUCUUGGAAAUCUACAGGCAUUGAAGAAUGCCAAACAAUUGUCUUGUCUGAUAGAAAAUCUGAGACUGCUCACAUAUACACAAAUGGGGUGAAGAGCUUGCCUUUGUCAAAAGCCCCAGCACUGCAACUCCCCAUCAACCACACAAACAUUGUUGAAAUUGAAGAGGUCUUCUCGCGUUAUGAAGACUUAAUCAAAGUAGCCACCUCAAUGUCGGAGCUAGUUUGGGACGAUGUACAGCCAAAGCAGAAACUACCAGGUCCGUUCCAGAAACAUGUGGAAUGUGUACAAGAACUUGGUGUUAUUUUGAAAGAAGGAAACCCUAGAGGUAGUGAAGUCGUUCCUACAGCUCCCAUUCCUACUUCUAAUCUGCAACCUGAAGCAACAGACAAAAUCGGUUUCCUUACAUCACUUUCCUUGGCACAAAGAUGUCACAAACAUCAAUCUCCUAAAACAAAUUGUAGCUACAAGGUUAAACAAAAAGGAGUUGGACUCAAGAGAAGAUGUGUUGAAAGUCCUCAUUCAAAUGUGCCUGUCCCAAGAAAGCAAAGGAAAAUGAGGGACGGAUUAGGUCCCUCCUUUCACCUUGUUCCUGAGGUCAACUUGACUGAUGAUGAUGAAGAUUUUGAGCCCCCCAAUACAACUACUUCUAAGUCUUUGGAAGAAGAGAAACAUUCAAAAGGUAGCAAUCUCCAGAAGCCAACAGAACAUGGAAUUGGGAACAACAUUUGCAGGGUUGGCACAGUAAGUCUAGCCUUGUUUGGUUCCACGCUCCAACGCAAGGACCAUAAUGCUUCUCGAGCCAGACCUUUUGCAGACAAUGCUCCAGCACCUCCUGUAACCCUCAGUGUGAAUGUCAACUCCUGGACAACGGAGCCCUCCGAGACCAGUCCUCCAGUGGAAAGCCCAAUCAAACAAUGGAUCUUAAGCGAGUGGAAUAAUAGUUUUAUCCCGACAAAGACAAAGUCCAGGGGCAAAGUGCCAAGACUACAAAACAGAAGAGGCGUUGCUCCAAAAAUGAUUUGUGCUGAAAUGGCUAAAAAGAUUGUUGCCCUCACCAACACAGAUGGAGGUGCAUUAUCCUCUGAAAGGCGAGCCACACCAGAAAGAACUGUAAAGGCCAAACAGACUUUGCGGCGCAUUGAAAGAGAAAGAAUCUUAAGCGGCCUGAAACUCAGACUGAAGAAAUCUAGGAUUGAGGCAGUGCCAUCCGGUAUCCCUGAUAUAGUGGAAAAGGGUAAAUAUGAAAUCGGAAACCCUGCUUCUUUGCCUCGUGAGGAGAACAGUCUUAUGUUUAGUGUGCUGCCGGAGUCAUUCAACUUCAAAGAAGUCAUGGACCCUCUGACACAGACAGGUUCAAUGAAUGACAUGGCUGGUCCAGUUGCUGUGAAGGCUGAGAAUCCUAAGGCAAUAGUCCAAAAAUCCAAAGGUGUAUGGUCUGUUGGCAUUCAGAAGAGAUAUUGUCCUCUCACCUCUUUGACCACUAAAGUUCCCAAGACUUCCUCCACCACCUUCCAGAAGUUUCAGAAGAAAUUCAAGCAGAAGAAGGUUCUGUGUCUAUGAAUCUCUUAUAUUUGAGGCACUUUCUCACAGACACCUUGUUUUGACUGCAAUAACUCACAUCUCUCAGACCGUUUCUUAUAAGAAGCAGAGACUAGAAAAUAACUGGAACAAUAUUACACCUUAUAAUGCACAUAUAUUGUUAAUCUGUAGUCUAGGACCCUAUAAAUGUAAGGGGGAGGGCUCUUAUAACCCUUCCCCUUCUAUUAAUACAACCUAAGCAUAACCAAUUAUUAUUAUACAUCAAACAUUUGGUGCAGCCCAAGUCAUGACCCCAAGUUGACCCCAUCACAGGCAACAUUGCGAAACUUAAUCUAAUUUAAAAACCCUAAACUAAAGUUUUGUGUGUCAUUGGAUGGCUGUUUUUGUAAUGUUUAUUUUCUUGUCAGUGUUGUAGCUGACAUUUUUGGGGGGUAAACAGUAUUUUAUGCAAACCUCAUGUUUACUGUUUUGAACUAUGCAAAAUUGACUGCGGUUUGUAUGAAUUUGUAAGAUAUCAUUCUGCCCACCUCUCUACUGUUCCCUUUUACAAUCUUAUAACAAGUGGGUACCUUACCAAUAGUUAUUUUUCUGGCUUUUAAAUCGAUUCCGUUUGUUGACGCGGGAUGAACAGUAUUGUAUGAUUUAGAGAUACUAAGCCAGCUGAAACAAGGUUGCUUUGCAGUAUUCUGGAUGCAUAUAGCAGGAAAACUAUGUAUUUGUUCUACCUAGUGUUAUUUCUUUAUGUUGGUAUAUGUUAUUUGUUUCUAUAAAAAAAAUGUACACUUAAAAAUAUAUUGUCAGCAGCAUCCUUCACUUGGCUCUUGUUGAUUUUAUAGGGGACUAAAGUAAGACAGGCAGGGUGCAUUCUUACCAGAGGUGUCUGUUGGUUAGGUGUGAAUGCUAACCCUUUUUAUGGUUAAAAGAAGGCUAUAUAGACUAAAGUGUAGUACUGGGAUGCAAACUCAAAAUGUAAUACAUUUCUAAUCUGCAAUUCUAAAUAUCUGACAUGGUACACGUGUGUAUUCUUUUUUUUAAGCCCAUAACCAUGUGUGUGAGGUGUUUACUUUUGUUUCAAAGUUAAUCAUCUUUAAACACCAGUCUCAACAUCAACAGUGAAGAGGCGACUCCAGGAUGCUGGCCUUCUAGGCGGAGUUGCAAAGAAAAAGCCAUAUCUCAGACUGGCCAAUAAAAAUUAAAUAUUAAGACGGGCAAAAUAACACAGACACUGGACAGAGGAACACUGCCUAGAAGGCCAGCAUCCCGGAGUCUCCUCUUCACUGUUGACGUUGAGACCGGUGUUUUGUGGGUACUAUUUAAUGAAGCUGCCAGUUGAGGACUUGAGGCGUCUUUCUGAAACGAGAUACUCUAAUGUACUUGUCCUCUUGUUCAGUUGUGCACCGGGGCCUCCCACUCCUCUUUCCAUUCUGGUUAUAGCCAGUUUGCGCUGUUCUGUGAAGGGAGUAGUAAACUGCGUUGUACGAGAUCUUCAGUUUCUUGGCAAUUUCUUGCAUGGAAUAGCCUUCAUUUCUCAGAACAAGGAUAGAUUGACGAGUUUCAGAAGAAAGUUAUUUGUUUCUGGCCAUUUUGAGCCUGUAAUCGAACCCACAAAUGCUGGUGCUCCAGAUACUCAACUAGUCUGAAGAUGGCCAGUUUUAUUGCUUCUUUAAAUCAGCACAGGUUUUCAGCUGUCCUGACAUAUUAGCAAAAUGGGUUUUCUAAUGGUCAAUUAUCCUUUUAAAAUUAUAAACUUGGAUUAGCUAACACAACGUGCCAUUGGAACACAGGAGUGUUGGUUGCUGACAAUGGGCUUCUGUACACCUAUGUAGAUAUUCCAUAAAAAAUCAGCCGCUACAAUAGUCAUUUACAACAUUAACAAUGUCUACACUGUAUUUCUGAUAAAUUUUAUGUUAUGUUAAUGGACAAAAAUGUGCUUUUCUUUCAAAAACAAGGAUGUUUCUAAGUGACCCCAAACUUUUGAACGUUAGUGUAUAUGGAUAGAAACAUUACCCCCAGGUUGAACUGGGGGAGGUCAUCAAUAAUCUGGUAAUGUGAAAUUUCCUGGCAAUGAUUGAUGCCCAGUACAAUUCUACAAACACUUGUCACAAAUUACUAAAGCCUGUUACUUAUGUUCACAGCAGCUAUUAGUACAAAAGCAAUCUCUACUGAAUUUUUUUACAUAAUCCAUCAUACCAGGAACUUGGAACGCUCCAAAAGUGGCAGUAUCGUUAGAUGCUGAAAAAAAUAUUUGGAGUAGAAUGGGCAUAAAAAAGUAGUUUUUUUGUCUGUUAUCUUGUUGGAUUGAGCUAUUGUACCAUCAUUUAAGUUAUCAAGGGAGACAAGGAUGCUGUCUGUCGUUAUCUAUUUGCUUUAGCCACAGAACACACAACGCCACCGUUGCAGGAACAAUCCAUCACAGCUGCUUACUGCCAGAGGCCAACCAACAGGAUACAUCCAGACAGACUGGACUCAAGCAAGAAGUGUGGGAGCUAGUGUAAUAUAUUAUUGAUAGGCUGGGCAGAUGCUAUACUGAAGUAGCAAGGACAUAAGCACGAAGGCGUACAUUAAGCUGAACAUAAGUGCAAAGGCCAAAGCCAGAAGCACUUAGGACACCAGGACAAAUCAAUACUAGAAGGACACACCAAGGAGAGUGCUUGCCAACGGACCAACAGAAGCAUGAUAGAUAUAUAAUUUUUUUUAGGACAUGAAAGGGUCCUGCCACCAUUAUAAACUAACCAAAAGCAGAGAUGGGCGUGAACAAGCAAGAAACUUGAACUAAAAGAUAAUGGUGGCAGAAGGACUGAGGGAAGGAACUUCAUUUGCAUGUGGGAUAGACUGAUAUGCUGUAUGUGUAUAAAAACAGGGCCAGUGCUCAAGGAAAACGGUUGUUCCGCAGACCAACACGGCUUAUGAAUUCACAAGUUCUUGUAAGUGUCAUAUUUCUAAGACAAUUUCCACCACAGAAGACAUAGGGAACCAUUAUCUUGGGAAUUAUGUUAUGUGAGAUCAAAUGCAUAACAUGAGUGAACUGGUGCGGAUCUCAAAGAUUUUUUUUUUUUUACCUUUAUUUAACAUGGCAAGUCAGUUAAGACCAAAUUCUUAUUUUCAAUGUCAGCCUAGGAACAGUGGGUUAACUGCCUGUUCAGGGGCAGAACGACAGAUUUGUACCUUGUCAGCUCAGGGAUUUGAACUUGCAACCUUUCGUUUACUAGUCCAACGCUCUAACCACUGGCUACCCAUGAACACAGGGAAAUAUCAUUCAUUUUUUUAAAUUGUUUUUUUACUUUGACACAUGAAAUGUACUGUAUCCAAAGUAACCAUGUGAUUUAAUAUUGCAUGUUAUCUAUAUCAGAGAAGGCUGGUGGGAGGAGCUAUAGGAGGGCAGGCUCAUUGUAACGGCUUGAAUGAAAUAUAUGGCAUGGAGUCAAACACAUUUUUUCCAUUAGUUUGUUUUUGGUACCAUUCCAUUGAUACCAUUCCCAUUACAAUGAUCCAUUCCUCCUAUAGCUACUCACACCAGCCUCCUCUGGAAUAUAUAUAUAUAUAUAUAUAUAUAUAUAUAGCAAGCUAAACAUUUCUCCCUACUGAAAAGCCAAUUCUGACGUGUUUUACGAAACUAAUAAGAAUUGCCUCUGGCCUGCGUUGAAACGGCUGCCAGUUUAUGCGCAUCUCUAUUCUCCUGAACACGCAACAAAGCCGCAUGCUCACACGACACCCAAACAUUAGUUUGUUUAUGUUUCUCCAACUGUACCAUGGUAAUGAAUGUGUCCGGAGUCGGGAAGAGACAGACAGCCUGCAUUUCUCAGCCAGUCGAAAUCAUGAAUCACCUGCUAUCAUUUUUAUGGAUAUAUACAAAGAAAUGUCAAUUGAAAAAAGGUGAAACGAAGUACCGAG